UACAGAGGGGGCAAGCGUUGCUCGGAAUUACUGGGCGUAAAGGGCGCGUAGGCGGCCUGUUAAGUCGAACGUGAAAUCCCCGGGCUCAACCCGGGAACUGCGUCCGAUACUGGCAGGCUUGAAUCCGGGAGAGGGAUGCGGAAUUCCAGGUGUAGCGGUGAAAUGCGUAGAUAUCUGGAGGAACACCGGUGGCGAAGGCGGCAUCCUGGACCGGCAUUGACGCUGAGGCGCGAAAGCCAGGGGAGCAAACGGG
rnacentral:rRNA from 1 species